GACGAACGCUGGCGGCGUGCUUAACACAUGCAAGUCGAACGGAAAGGCCCUGCUCUUGUGGUGUGCUCGAGUGGCGCACGGGUGAGUAACACGUGUGUAACCCCCCCUUGAUUUUGGGAGAUCUUCAGGAAACUGGGUAUAAUACACGAUAGGAGCUUCUGCUGCGUGGGGGGGGUUGGAAAGUUUCGGCGGUGGGGGACGGCCUCGGGGCUUAUCAGUUUGUUGGUGGGGUGGUGGCUUACCAAGGCUUUGACGGGUGGCCGGCCUGGGAGGGUGACCGGCCACAUUGGGCUUGGGAUAGGGCCCAGAGUCCAACGGGAGGAAGCGGUGGGAAAUAUUGCAAAAUGGGCGGAGGCCUGGUGCAGCAACGCCGCGUGCGGGAGGACGGCCUUCGGGUUGUAAACCGCUUUCGCCUGGGACGAAGCGUGUGUGACGGUAAUGGGUAAAGAAGCACCGGCUAACUACGUG
rnacentral:rRNA from 1 species